GGAUUAGGCAUGCAAGUCGUGCGAGAAGUUGUUGCUGCUUGCAGUGACAGCGGAAAGCGGCGUAAGGGAGAGUUACACGUGGGUUACCUACCCCUGGAUCCGGGAUAGCGGCGGGAAACUGCCGGUAAUACCGGAUAAUGUCUCCGGACCAAAGGUGAGAUUCCGUCCGGGGAGGGGCCCGCGUCCUAUUAGCUUGUUGGUGGGGUAAUGGCCUACCAAGGCAAAGAUGGGUACCGGGUGUGAGAGCAUGGCCCGGCUCACUGGGACUGAGACACUGCCCAGACACCUACGGGUGGCUGCAGUCGAGAAUCUUCGGCAAUGGGCGCAAGCCUGACCGAGCGACGCCGCGUGCGGGAUGAAGGCCUUCGGGUUGUAAACCGCUGUCAGAGAGGCGGAAAUGCAUAGGGGUUCUCCCCUAUGUUUGACCUAUUCUCAGAGGAAGUCCGGGCUAAGUUCGUGCCAGCAGCCGCGGUAAUACGAACCGGACGAACGUUAUUCGGAAUCACUGGGCUUA
rnacentral:rRNA from 2 species